rnacentral:tRNA from 1 species
UAGCUCAGUUGGUAGAGCGUAAGGCUUUUAACCUUGUGGUUGUGGGUUUGAGCUCCAU